GACGAACGCUGGCGGCGUGCUUAACACAUGCAAGUCGAACGAUGAACUUGGAGCUUGCUCUGGGGGAUUAGUGGCGAACGGGUGAGUAACACGUGAGUAACCUGCCCUUGACUCUGGGAUAACCUCCGGAAACGGAAGCUAAUACCGGAUAUGACGUACGGAGGCAUCUCCUGUGCGUGGAAAGAAUUUCGGUCAAGGAUGGACUCGCGGCCUAUCAGGUAGUUGGUGAGGUAACGGCUCACCAAGCCUACGACGGGUAGCCGGCCUGAGAGGGUGACCGGCCACACUGGGACUGAGACACGGCCCAGACUCCUACGGGAGGCAGCAGUGGGGAAUAUUGCACAAUGGGCGCAAGCCUGAUGCAGCAACGCCGCGUGAGGGAUGACGGCCUUCGGGUUGUAAACCUCUUUUAGUAGGGAAGAAGCGAAAGUGACGGUACCUGCAGAAAAAGCACCGGCUAACUACGUGCCAGCCGCCGCCGUAACAC
rnacentral:rRNA from 1 species